CCGGGCAGCUCACCGGAUAAGACAGCUGGAUGAUAGCCGGGCUGAAGACUCUGCUUGACUAGCUGAGGGGAGGUGCAUGGCCGUCGUCAGUUCGUACUGUGAAGCAUCCUGUUAAGUCAGGCAACGAGCGAGACCCACGCCAACAGUUGCCAGCAUGUCCUCCGGGAUGAUGGGGACACUGUUGGGACCGCCUCUGCUAAAGAGGAGGAAGGAAUGGGCAACGGUAGGUCAGCAUGCCCCGAAUUAUCCGGGCUACACGCGGGCUACAAUGGUCAGGACAAUGGGUAUCGACACCGAGAGGUGGAGGCAAUCUCCUAAACCUGUCCUUAGUUCGGAUUGUGGGCUGCAACUCGCCCACAUGAAGCUGGAAUCCGUAGUAAUCGCGUUUCAAAAUAGCGCGGUGAAUAUGUCCCUGCUCCUU
rnacentral:rRNA from 1 species